UCUCUCUGGUGAUGUUUUGCACUGGGCUCUGAUUAAUCUUGAAGACACGUGCAGCUCCACUCCUGACAUGGUGGAGUCUGAGGAGACG